rnacentral:tmRNA from 1 species
GGGGCUGACAUGGAAUUGACAGGAUGGGGUCGGAUAUGUAAGCAUGUCGAGUUUUGUAGAUUCACUCGUUAAUCAGAUUUACAACAGCCUUAAUCGGCAACACACAGUUCUCAAUGGCUGCUUAAUUCUAGGUAAUUAACAUAGUCAUUCAUCCCGGAAGGCUUUCGCCUAACUUGCUUUCCAUAUGGGGUGUCAAAUCGUAAAGGCUAGGUUUUUCUUCGCCUCGCAGAUGGACCGAAAUUUAGAGGAAUAAGCAGCGCUAUAGGUUCUUGUUUCACCUAACGCUGCCUAACAAUUAAGAAACAAUAAACAUGUAGAAAGCGUAUUGCGCUCUGUAUCUGGACCAGAGUUCGAAUCUCUGCAGCUCCACUA